GCCGAUGUAGCUCAUUUGGUAGAGCAGUCGCCUUGUAAGCGACAGGUAACGGGUUCGACUCCCGUCAUCGGCU
rfam:Anaerolineaceae bacterium 4572_5.2 ex4572_5.2_scaffold_19591, whole genome shotgun sequence.